GUCGUCCAGCGCGGAUGUUUACAUUCCUGGGGUGAAAGUCUUAAGCGGUGACGGUGGUGAACUCGGUCUCGGGGAAGGAAAAACUGUGGACUCCUUCAGCUGGAAGAGACUGGAUCUGUGACAGGUCUACACGGGGGUCGUGUCGGAUGAUGUGCACACGGGCUCACAUAAUGUGCUGCAACAUUUGCACAGUGUUGCACUCCAUCCAGCAGUUCUGGAAGCUCCUGUUGAUUGUUUGCUGGUGAAAAGUGGAACAAACUUGUCUCUGAUGUCCGUGCACAAAGGGCAGGUGGUUAGAGAGUGCAGAUCUGUUUCCACCUCCUGUUGGCUGCAGCGGGUGCAGAUCCAGCCUUGACUGUGGCGUCUUCUCUCCAUUGUGAGGUUUUGCUCACUGUGUGUACAUAGUCAGAGAUUUCCUCAGCUAUGGGUCAGUCACAGUGCUGAAGUAUUCUGCAACCUCAUAGUCCCUGUUAAGGGACAAAUAACAUUCCAGUUUUCUG